rnacentral:rRNA from 1 species
AGUAACGCGUGAGGAACCUGCCUUUCANAGGGGGACAACAGCUGGAAACGGCUGCUAAUACCGCAUAACACAUAGGUGUCGCAUGGCAUUUAUGUCAAAGAUUUAUCGCUGAGAGAUGGCCUCGCGUCUGAUUAGCUAGUUGGUAGGGUAACGGCCUACCAAGGCGACGAUCAGUAGCCGGACUGAGAGGGUGGACGGCCACAUUGGGACUGAGACACGGCCCAAACUCCUACGGAAGGCAGCAG